rnacentral:rRNA from 1 species
UUCAAGAGUACGUGAAACCGCUCAGGGGUAAACCUGCGAAACUCGAAUGAACGAACGGGGAGAUUCAUCGUUAUUCCGCGGCGUGACGGCGCGCACUCGAUACAGUCGGUUCGCCGCUCUGUACGGUGUGUGUCGUUCUACGUUCGUGGACGGCGUGCACUUCUCCCUUAGUAAUACAUCGCGACCCGUUCGAUGUCGGUCUAAGCGCCGUUCGGGAGUCGCGCUCGUCCCUUCGGGGUGCGGGUUGCGACCGUGACGGUUGCCGACCGGCUGUCGGACGGUAUCAUAACGGAUCUCGUACGCGUUUACGCGCGUCCGGCCCGACGCAAGGUUACGUCGUUCAUCUCCGUUCUGCCUUUGCGCGAGCGAGGAUGCGGCGCGCCUGUCGUCGCAGCCGUGCUGUCUCGGACUGUACGUGUACCGUGUCUGCGAUGAUUCAGUUUCGGGCACUCGCAGGACCCGUCUUGA